rnacentral:lncRNA from 1 species
GUAGGUAACAGGUACCAGCUACUGUCAGCAGGGAGGAAGGUAUGUGGUGACCACGAGUCCAGACCUGAGGGUCCUGACCCUCUAAUGCGGCCUCUCACCAGUGUUCGCAGAAACCCACCCGCUGAUUCAAUACGGGGACCAGGAACCUGCCAUGACAGUCACGACUCAGUCUGCCUGCACCUACAUGAUUAAAAAGCUUUAUUGCUCACACAAAGCCUGUUUGGUGGUCUCUUCAUAUGGAUGCGCAUAACAUUUGGUGCCGAAGACCCCGGACAGGGUGACUCCUUCGGGAGAUUGGUCCCCUCUCCUCACCCUCACUCCAUGAGAAGAUCCACCUACGACCUCAGGUCCUCAGACCAGCCCAAGGAACAUCUCACCAAUUUCAAACCGGGCUUCCCUCUUGUCUGGAGGAAAAAGAAAAAAGAGAACCAGACUUAGACACAACUUCUUGUGGGCACAUAUUCAGAAGGCAUCUCACUGGAGAGGGUUUAGUUCUCCUUAGCAGAAGAUAAGAUUUCAAGAUUUCAGCUAAGACUCAUCUCUCUGCAAAUCUUUCUUUUGAGAGCAUCUUCACCAGGAGGAGAUUCCAUCUCAAGAGACCACUUUCACUGCUCAUAUGUAAGAAGCAACUCUUCAUCUGUUCAAGUUUGAUCAUG